GGGUUAUUUUCUGUUUUUUUCUUUAUUAUUUUAUUAGUAUUGUUUUCCAUUUGAGUUCUCAACUACACGGUUACUUGUAAACUGUUAAAACAUUCUGCCAAAGCUCAGAUUAAUUAUCCACAAUUAUUUGUCAAAUAAAAGAUUAACUGGUAUUUUGGUUUUCACUACGUCCUCACUUUUUUUGUCAUGACUUGAGCUGGUUGUGACAAAAGUGGGGGCUCGUCCGUGUUUGUAAUUUGAGUAUGUUUGUAUACGACUUUAAUUUGGUUAAUUCGUUGUAAAUUUCGUUGAUAUUGGUUAUUCUUUGAUCCUUUAGUUUUGGAGUGCUGCAGUGAAUUAGGUAUAUUGUUUACUUUUGUUCUUGUAAGCAUUUGUGUGGAAUUGCAUUUGGUAAGUAAGCUGUUUUGAUGCAUUUUACGGGUAAUAAUUUUAGACUGCUUUUCCCUGGUUAGGAAAAGAGGGUAUCCUUAACUGGAUGCUCUGUUUGUUAUUUUAGUUUCUUUUUUUUGUAUGGUGAAAGCGGUUGGAGCUGUAGCUCGGGAACACGUCCGUGUUUUGUAAUGGCAACUAGUCAUUUGGUUGUUGUUGUGAACACUGGUUUAUAGUAUGUAAAGUAUAGUGAGCGCACGAGCCCUCCAGAGCUCCGCGAAGGCUUGCAAGGGUUCUCCCUCUGCCUGGAAGCAUGCAAUUUUGCAUGUAUGUAUGGAUCGAUCAGAUGGAUGGAUGGCUGGCUGGCUGGCUGGUUUAUUUAGUUUAUGGUUUAGUUAGGGGGAACUGCACUUAAAUUUUGUUACCUAUGUAUUAAAAUAGGCUUACCUUGUUAUGGCUUCUGUCGGAGUUUAUUAAAACUCCGUCAGAUGAUCUUUUGGAUGUCUUUUCUAAAGACCAACUUUUGGAGGUCGCAGACCGUUAUGAAAAUACGUUGUCCGUCCAAGAUAAGCGUUUAAAUGAUACAAUUAAGGCUGUCAUAACAUCUGAACUGAAUGCACGUGAUGUGUUAAAGUCGCAGCCAGAACCUGUUGUUAAUGUUGUUAAAUCUAAGAUGUCUCAUUUGAUGUUUGAACAGCAAAAAGAACUGUUGUUGCUUGAAGCUGAGACUAAAGAAAAAAUAAUAGAAGCACAAAGACGUCUCGAAUUAUCUAAAGUUCAAGUGCAGCAACAAAAAUUAGAACUUGAACGUUGUUGCUUGGAUUUGAUAAGAGAUGGAAGAAUUUCUAGCACAAAUGGGUCAGGAAGUGAGCAUGGUUUGCGUGACUUUGUUGUGAGUAAUUUGAGACUAAUUCCGAAAUUUGAUGAACAGGAUCUGGAACGGUUUUUUGUAUUAUUUGAACGUGUUGCUGAGGCAAGAAAUUGGCCAGAUGACCAACGUACUUUGAUGUUACAAUGUAUUUUUACAGGCAGGGCUCAAGAAGCGUACUCCUUUCUUAGUACGGAGGAUGUGGCAAAGUAUCAGACUGUAAAGACCGCAGUUUUAAAAUCCUAUGAAUUGGUUCUGGAGGUAUACAGGCAGAAAUUUAGGUUUUGGAGAAAAGGUGAGAAACAGACAUAUGUUGAGUUUCUACAUGACAUUUCGAUGUACUUUAAUCGCUGGUGUAUGGCUUCUGAGAUUGAAACACUAGACGACUUAAAGGAUUUGAUUGUACUUGAACAAUUCAAAAAUUGUAUUUCUGAUCAUGUAGCGACCUACAUAAGUGAACAAAAAUCUCUUACUGCGUACGACGCAGCUGUUUCAGCCGAUGAAUUUUCAUUAAUUCAUAAAACUUCAGCAAAUAGAAUGUAUGGAGAUCCUAGUCGGAAUGAACUGUGGCAUAAAUCCACUCUGCCUAGUAAAUUUCAGCAUGAUUUUGUUGGAGGACAAGAUAAAAAUAAUGUGUAAUUAUUGUCAUAUAUUUGGUCAUUGGAAAAUUGAGUAUUCGAUGUUAAAAAUGAGAAACGUCCAAAACCAACUCAAAAUUUCCGCCUGUUAAACCUGUUGCUUUAGCCAUUUCAGCCUUGUCUCAUUCCCAUGAGCAAAAAAAUUGCACACCUUGCGGUCCGACUUUUAAUCCUUUUAUUACUGGUUAUGUCGGUUUGCUUGAUUCUGCAGCAAAUGUGCCUGUAAAAAUCUUGGUUUGUCUGAAUCUUUCGUUUUAAAGUCAGUACUGCCCUUUUCAUCCAGCUCGUAUACGGGAGAUAAUGUGCUGAUACGUGGCAUCGGUAUGGAUGUUAUGUCUGUUCCUCUCCAUCGACUUUUUCUGCAAUCUGAUUUAAUUCAGGAUGAAGUAGAAAUUGGUGUUCGUUCUUGUUUGCCUGUUGAGGGAAUACAGGUUAUACUAGAGAAUGAUUUGGCUGGAAACCGUGUUUGGAAAGAUUGUUAGUCGAACUUGGUGGUGACUCCGUCCCCAGUAAUUCAUGAAUCGAGUAAUGAAGGGCAUUCCUCGUUCAUUACCAUGGUUUUGCCAUCCUGUGCAGUAACACGGGCUAUGUCAAAGAACCAAACGGUUGAUAAGUGACAGUCCAAAGGAGACGGGUACUUUGGAAUUUCCUUCAAUUUUGUCAGUAGCGUGUAAUGAUCUGGUGAUGGAACAAAAAGUGGAUUUCACCUUAAAUGAGCUGUUUGCUUGGGUUGUUCCAUGUGACUCGAUUGCCAACCUUCCAUUGGGUUAUUACCUGGAUGACGGUCUGUUGGUUUGAAAAUGGGUACCACAUGGUGAUCGGAGACCCCAUUGUACAAGUUGUUGUUCCUCAGAAAUUUCGGAACCUUGUGUUACAAACUGCGCAUGAUGCAUCUGAUCAUUUGGGUUUUUAAAAAACCUACAAGUUGCUCUUAGAGUUUUUUUGGCCGAAAUUACAGCGGGAUGUUUCUAGUUACAUUAAGUCGUGUUGUACUUGCCAACUUGCAGGAAAACCCAACCAGGCGAUAAAAUCGGCACCCCUUUAUCCAAUCCCUGUGAUAAGUCAACCUUUUGAAUAAUUAAUAGUGGACUGUGUUGGCCCUUUGCCAAAGUCAAAAUCAGGCAGCGAGUACUUGCACUCAAAAAAAUGAUUUUUCAGUUUUGUUCACUUUACCUGAACAAGUCAUGUUGAAUUAAUGCCAUUUUGGCUAUUUUUCAUUUCAACAUGAUUGUGUCAUGUUAAAUGUAAAACUGACUUAAAACUGUCACUCGUUGGUUAAACAAAGUUUUCAUUUUAAAAAUACACGUUUCAAUCACUUAGCUCAGUCAAACUGUUGACUGAAUUAAAAAUAUAUAUAUAUAUAUAUAAUAACUUGCAUAAUAUUUAUCAUUUAUUUUAAAUAUUUUUGUUUAAUUUAUAGCUUGAUUAUAAUUAUAGAAGUGCAAUUAAAUGGUUAUUGGUGUUUUUAUGUUUAUUUGUCUUAAAUGUCUGUUAAAUCAGACUGAUACAAAUAAUGUUUAGUAAAAGUCAAUCACACAUAUAAAAUGUGUGUUUUUAUAAAGUCAGCCGGACUGAAUCUCAAAACAGGCUGAAAACAAACCACAUUCUCAACCUAAAGGAAGCGGAAAUUUGUUGUGACGCAAUUGGCGGCAAUAUUCAUAAAAUACGUUAAUGCUGCGCAUGUCUCAAAUAAAUCGCCACGCCAUUAACUGGAAUAUAAGCUUAAAACAAACAGAAUCCACGAUUGUAAGCCUAAAUGAGAUGGCCGCGCCAUGAACUGUAUUAAACAGCACACGAACAGCCUAGAUGACCGCGCCAUCAACUGAAUUAAACGGCAAACAAACAGAAUCCACGAUUUUAUGCCUGAAAGAGAUCACCACGUGUCCUGCGCCAUUAACAGAAUUAAACACCAAACGAAAAGAUUGCCAGCUUUAAUGCCUGAAAGAGAUCGCCGUGUUAUCAGCUGAAUUAAACGCCAAACAAACAGGAUUGUAAAUAUGACCUCCACCAUCAUCCUGCGUGUAAUUCUGGGAGAGAACGAUGCACAGAAAGUGACACUUCAGAAUGGUGUCCCUUGUUGUUUGGCAGAAUUAAAGAAUGAGAUACAGACACAGUGUAAUUUGUUGGGAGAAAUCAGACUUCAAAUCAUGGACCCUGACUUUAAUGAAUUUGUGAACCUGACUUCCACAACUGAUGUUCAGAACAAAAGCACCCUUAAGGUCAUGAAACUCAGUGACUCUUUUGCAGUAUCUCCAUCUCCCUCAUCAUGUGACAGACAUUCUGUCUUCAAGUUCAUCCUCUGAAGCAUCAUCUUCAUCCCUUGACCCCCAAGAGUUGACUUCGAAUACAAGGUCUUCUUGGCCAACAUGUUUUGUUGUGCCCCGUUUCUCCUAUGAUGCAGAAAUUAAGCUGGAACAAGGCAAUUCAGAAUACCAAAAAAAAGGCUCUCCACUGAAUCCAGACCCAAAGCUGAAAUCAGACAUUUUGGAUGGACUUGCUGAAGAAAUAGUCAAAUUCAAAUUGUACCUCUCUGAUGCUGAAUUCAAUGAAGUGGCAGAAGCCCUUAUAAAACGGCAUCCUUGCCUUAAGGAACAGGGAUCGUUAACAGGAUGCAGUGGCUGGAAAAGAAGCCUUAAAUAUAAAAUGUCAAAUUACAGAACCAAGCUGCGAAAUCUUGGUUGUAGUGAAGUGACCGUUAAUUCCAUGAAGCACAAACCUAUGGGUGUAAGCAAUCCAGCUUUUGGUGUCAAGAAGCCACGCAAGGCUGAAGUAAACUUUUGUCCCUCAUUUCUUCCUGGUGAAACUCCUGACAGCAUGGAGCAAAUCAGUCUCCCUUCUUUCUGAGGUUAAGAAGAAGAACAACGAGCAAACUGUGAGAAGAUUAAUGGACCUUUCAUUUGCAUUGAGAAGACAAGAGGUUUUCAAAGAAUCUCCACUUAUUGCUGACUUUAUGAGCAGAUGGCCGGCUUUGUUCCAAGAAAAGGAGGUUUGCACGGGUAACAACUGUUGCCUUAAUUUCAAAAUUCUUCUCAAAGCUGGAUGAACACACUCCAAGUCUUCUGAGGAUCUUUGCCAAGAGAGGUGGAGCUCAGGGACAAAGGAUAAGGAAACUUCUGUGAAAAUUGUUUUUCUAGAUAAAUUAAUCAUUUGUUUCUAACUUAUGAUUUGUGUGACUUGAAAAUGUAUUAGUUGAUUGGUACAUGUUGCUAAUUUUCUUUAUUUUCCCUAGUGUGCCUGCAUUAAUGUUAAGAGGGAGUGUGUCCUCAAAGCCCUGUUUGUGUACCUAAAUGAGGAUCCUGACAAUCUCAUCAAGGAGUACAUGGAUGUAGAUUUUUCCAACACUGAAGCUGCACUCAAAGAAAUGGUGAUGGGCGUUUUUGUCAUCAGAUGGGAUGUGAAGUUGGUGAUGAACCUGCGGAUGUUGGAGUAGUUCUUGAAGGAGUUACAGCACUAGAAGGGCUUGGUAAUGUAGCUAAUGGUGUUGCAUUGCUGAUUGGGCUUAUUUAUACCCUAAAUCUUAGUUAUCCGAAGGAGUCUCAAUACACCUUUGAACUCCUGCAAAAAGUGUUCCUGGAGCUUGAUGUACACAAACUCUCCACCAAAGUUCAAGCCCUCAAGACCAAGCUUUUUACACCUCAUUAAAGGACUGAUGAAUACCCUGAUCUUUACCUUGAAACUGUUUUGUGUCAAAUAGUCAAAACAUGUUCAUGUUUCAUGUUCACACAUUUUAAUGCCUUUUAUUGAUUUGAUUAAUUUUAUUUUCUGUACAUCAAGGCAUAUGUGAAGAGGAAUAGUUUCCUUAAAAAUUACAUUUGUCCUUAACUCACCCAAAGAAGGUCAAGGAAAACCAUCAAGGGUUUCAAUGACUCAUGGGUUAGUUAAUGGUGACACUUUUUUUUUGAACAAACAUAACCCAAACAUAAUAUUUUUUUCUUUGGAAUUGCAGGUUACUUUCUUUUUGUGAAAUGCAUUAAAAGCAAACAUACUUUAUUUUUUUUUUUAUUAAUGGAUUGUUGUACAUGUAAGAAUGUAAACCUGUUUGUUUAAUUUUGCAUUGUAAAGGAAAACAUUUCUGCACACUUGUGUUUUAUAUAAAUUGUCAAAUUCUGGCUUAAUGUGUUAUAAGUGUUUGAAAUGUUUUUGAAAGUGUGACACCUUAUGGACCUCCGCCUAUAUCCAUUAUCCAACAAAAAUUGGUGCAGCUCCCACAUACUUUGACACACAGGGGUGAGCCUGGUCUCAUUUGAAAGAAGAGAUUCUCUAGUUUCAGAAACAGAUUGAUU